rfam:Triticum aestivum genome assembly, contig: Triticum_aestivum_CS42_TGACv1_scaffold_569390_7AS
UUUCUACUCCCUCUGUCCGAAAAUACUUGUCAUCAAAAUGGAUAAAAAGAGAUGUAUCUAAAACUAAAAUAUUUGUAGAUACAUUUCCUUUUAUCCAUUUUGAUGACAAGUAUUUCCGGAGGAGGGAGUAUUUG